AAGACUAUACUUUCAGGGAUCAUUUCUAUAGUAUAUGACUAGAGAAGUUUCUCUGAUCGUGUAGAGCACUCGAACCCACGAGAAGGAGCCAGAGCAUCUUCUCCUGAACAUGAACCCGGCUCUAGGUGUUGCUUCUGCCACUGCUUUUGGCCUUUGAUGAUUGUUCUCCCUUUCCCCUGGAAAGGGUAGAGGGAGAGGAUGCAGUUUGAGUGAU